CCGGCUGCGGUUUACUGCCAACUACCGUCAGUUAACCGCUCAGUCUGGGGUUAUUCUCCAUGUGUUACACAUGUUUACAUUAACAAAUAGCAAGACGUGAUUAAAUAAACAGUUAAUUUUAACUUUCUCCUUCUCCACCCCUCCUUCCCACUCCUCCGAGCCGCUUACCUUUGCUUGUCUCCGGCUGUCAGUGUGGAAGUUUAACCGCUGCUGGUUCCAAAAAAAGACGGUGAAUGACACCCACCACCGGGGUGCUUUUAUACUCCUUCUCCUCCAUACCUCCCGUGGAGAGAGUUUUUUUUCCUCCCUCUCCAGACAGCCGUUAGGAAUGCCGAAGUAUUCGGCAGGAAUUCAACCGGUCGGGCGGCCAUAUUUGGUCUCCUGUGUUGAGGGUGAAGGCGCACCGGGAUGACCAUAUAUGGAGAGGAAGCCCCCGCGAGCCCACCGCUGAGCGCUCGAGCCCGUGUAUGGAGCGAGACCAUGAGGAUGAGGACUACUACUACUACUACUAGGUCGGGACCCCCAGCACAUGGGACAGCUGCAGCCUGAGGAACCAGAGACAGAGACACUAACUAAGCCAACAGACCAGCGGUGUUUAUCCAGCAGUUACUGAGAGGUGUCAGGAUCCACAGAGGCUGUGGUCAUCCAUCCAGAAGAGGACGGUGAUGCAAACUCAACAUUUCUGAACCUUCACUCCCCUGUUAGAGACUGUACUGUGUGCACAUUAUUAUGGGAUUUUUACAAAUACAAUGAUUUUUAAAUGGUAUUUCUUAAUGGCAUACAUUACUAUAUGGCACGCUGAAUACAUUCUUUAGUACGACUUUUAUUAUUCUUAUGAAUUUUAAAACAUUUGUUCAUUACGUUAAAUAACCCAGUAUGAAUAUAUGAAUAAUAUAUAUACAUAUAUAUGACCUGCUUUACUAUAUAUUAUACUAUGUCAUUUAUUUUGAUUUUUUUUAUGACUUCUACUUACUUUUUUAAUGUCACAAAAAUAUUACGAGUGUAAAAAAAACAAAGUUAUGCCAUUUCUUUUGGACAUAUGAUCCUAUGACUAUGACUUAUUUAUGAGAUUUAUUUUUGGACGUAGUGUACUAUGACUUUAUGACUUUUCUAUGACAUGAGAUCUUACAGUGAAAUUUCUUUUUCAAUGACAUACUGUACAAUACUAUACUUUUUAUUCACAUUUAAAUGACUUUCUCAGUGACCCAUAGUAUAUGAAGAAUUUUUAUGACAUACUAAAACACAAGUCUUUUCAAGCCAUUUAUUUAAUGACAUUUAUUACAUUUAAUGACAUUACGAUAUGUGAGGACUGAUGAGCCUCACCUGCCGUUGGGAUUCCCGCAGAACCUUACCUCUCCUUUUGGUGCCGCAGCUGCUGUUUCCUUUUUUUCCAGACACUUUACACCUGCUUCCACACUGAUUACUGAUUAUCUGAGUGUGUACUUUUUGAAGUGAUUAUUCUGUAAAUAAAUAUGUAAGAUAAAUACACAUUUAAAAUAGUAGCAAAUAUAGAAUAUAGAGAAAAAAUGUUUACACGUGAUAAAUGAUUAAUAUACAAAAAGGAAAUGUAUGGAAGUUUAUGUUAAGGUUUUAUGAGCUUUAUAAAUCAAAAUGAAACUGAAAUGAAGUCAGUUUUUAGUCAUUACUCCUGUUUUUGUCAGCUAUCUGCGUGGACAAGAUGGACUUAUGUUUGUCUAUUAAGGAUUACAUUUUUAUGUUAAAGUUAUGUGGGGCUGAUGUCCCUAAUCUAACCUUCUUUCACUAUUUUUAGCUGAGCUGGAGGCUGAGAGGGGAUAAUCACGGAGGAUCCCUGUCAGGAUGGCAGCCAAGAAAUCUAUUUAUAACCAACAUCUGCCGCUCGUCACCAGACAGGAGAAGUCCUGAGUAACGCAGCUCUGACAGGACUGAGUCAUGUUUCUGUCACUCUCUCAGGACAAUGCGCUGAUAUCAGACGUCCUGUUGAAGUGUUAAGGAUUCUUUCUGGAAGGAUUCUGAGAAGAAUACAGAAGUCUAAAUACAGAAAUAACAACAGAUUUAUUUAGAAAAGAGCAAAAACAUAUUCAAACAUAUCAUGAAAAUGAUCAGACUGCAAAGGAAAGCUGAAGAAGGUGUUUCUGAAACCCUCAUCACAUCUGAGCCUCCAGGUAAUGUUCAUAAUUUGCUCGAAGAACAAACUCAAAGUAGGGUUUGGAUUUCAGAGAGCUCAGCUCGUCCAGCUCCAGCACCUCUUUGACGUCGGGCAGGUACGUCUGCAGAGAAACUCCUGCAACAUGAACAGGUGUUUAUCAUGAGGGGAAAUGACUUUUUAAUGGGAAAUAUACACUUUAACACAUGGACACAGGUGUGAGCGUUCCUCACCUUCCUGGAUGAGUUUGAGGAGGACUUUGAUGAAGAUGCUGUCUUUGGCCGCAUCCAGAGGAUCGUCAGUGCCAUCAGCAGAGGACCAGCUGAGAACACAGCAUCACAAUAAAUAAAUUAAACAGCAUGUAAAACUAGAGCAGAGCAAUACUAAAUACCUCCAAAACCAUAUAAAAGAUCUAUCGCACAUAUGGUUUAAAUUGUGAUAAAGAUAAGACGUGUAUUUUUGAUUUGGUUUUUAUAACUUCACAAAGUUCAUCUUGCACUUAAGUUACUCAAAGUAGAAAAUGUUCUGCUUUUUUUUUAUUGUAUACAAAAGUAUGUGUCCCCACAUAAUUAUUAUAUAAAGACUACUCUUGAUGUUAUAACCAGAGACAUGAUAGAGGGCAUUAUAUUGUGAGAGGAAUAACAUGACCAAUAUUUAUGAGUAGAAGAUUUGGCCCAGCUCUAUGUUACAAAUACAUCAGUGCUUUAAUGUUUCUCCUCCAACGUAUUUGUUUCUUUUCAACAUCAAAUCUUCUUAGAUUAAUGUUGAGUAAAAGAGAUGCAAAAUGUUCUAUUAAUCACAUACAAAAUUAAUUUCGAAACCUUCACGACUAGAUAACGUAUGUGGCUCUUACUCGUCUCUCCGCAGCGCUUUGCCGAAGAUCUCACACUUCAACAAGUCAAUGUCCUCAGCUUCCUCCUGCAACACAAACAGAAAAUACACACAGGUUGACUUCAACUUGAAGCCUGUCAGUUCUGAAACAGCAGGAUUAUCUGGAGGUUACCUCGUCGAUGUACUCCAGCAGAUCCAGAGCCUUCUUGAAGUCGUACUCGUUGGCGCGCCUGUUUUCAUCGCAGAUGUACAGCUGAGGAGAGGAGGGAACACUGUCAGCACGGUCAAUAGGACUGAAGUGACUUUUUACAGAAAUAGCUUUAUCUGUAGGAACUAGAUUCUGACACAUGUU